UCCUGCCUUGAAAGGAGCCUAAACAAGCCUCUACCUAUUUAACUUAUUCUGGGUAUACUGGUUAUUCAUAUAUCAAACUAGCAUUUCCAGAGGCUUUCUAGGAGUCAUUCCUAUCUAGUCAGUAUUGCAUGGAUACUUAACACACCACGCUGACAUAGCUACAUUUCUUGCAACUGGGUGGACAACAAUCUACGCAAAGGAGAUUUUUAAAGAAGUUAACACAGAAGAGGAUAUUUCUUAUCAUUAAUGUGAUUUAGAAGUUGACUAUCCCAGCCAAUCUAUGGAGCAAAAUUCUUCCAUAUGGCUAAUUUUUAAGCUCCACAUUUUAGAAGAGUAGCUGCAAAGAUGGUGAUAUAUGGAUCCUAUAUGACAAGUAACAAGAAGACAGUCUACUGAUCCUCUCAAGUUGAAAUUUUGUCUAUGUUUUAUUUAUGAUGGAACAGGAACAAAAAAUGGCAGCAUUGGACAGAGAAAAGAAAACUC